rnacentral:rRNA from 1 species
CAGCCGCCGCGGGAAUACGAAGGGUGCAAGCGUUACUCGGAAUUACUGGGCGUAAAGCGUGCGUAGGUGGUGGUUUAAGUCCGUUGUGAAAGCCCUGGGCUCAACCUGGGAAUUGCAGUGGAUACUGGGUCACUAGAGUGUGGUAGAGGAUAGUGGAAUUUCCGGUGUAGCAGUGAAAUGCGUAGAGAUCGGAAGGAACAUCUGUGGCGAAGGCGACUAUCUGGGCCAACACUGACACUGAGGCACGAAAGCGUGGGGAGCAAACAGGAUUAGAUACCCCCGUAGUCCCUGUCUCUUAACA